rnacentral:lncRNA from 1 species
CCCAACUUUGGUUGGCUAACCUAACUACCAUUUAGAUAGAUACAGUCAAGAAAUCAUAUUAUGAAUGACAAUUCCAUCAGUCGAUAAGCACCAGGCCUUUGGGCCUCUAAUGAUUAUCCAACUGAUGGACCUAUUAUCAUCCACUUAAUGGGAGGCUAUAAUCUAGUUAUCACCAUAACUAUUUCAUUUUAAAGACUUAAUAAUUUUUAAAGAUUUAAUUGAUUUAGAGGAGAAGGUCAGAUGAACCAGCUUAUCAUGAUCCUCCCACUGGCUUCACCAAGUUAGCUUAAGGGAGAUCAUUAAAAGGGCUGGUCUAGGAGCACCUAAAUCAGUCACACUGAUUUACCUAGCUGACAUGGGUCAACUCAAAUAAUCAAGUGAUCCGAUCAAAAUAUAAUUUCAC